AGAGUUUGAUCCUGGCUCAGAAUGAACGCUGGCGGCAUGCCUAACACAUGCAAGUCGAACGAGAUCUUCGGAUCUAGUGGCGCACGGGUGAGUAACGCGUGGGAACCUACCUUUUAGUAUGGGACAACGUUUGGAAACGAACGCUAAUACCGUAUACGCCCUCCGGGGGAAAGGUCAGCCGCUAAAAGAGGGGCCCGCGUCUGAUUAGCUUGUUGGUAAGGUAAUGGCUUACCAAGGCGACGAUCAGUAGCUGGUCUGAGAGGAUGAUCAGCCACACUGGGACUGAGACACGGCCCAGACUCCUACGGGAGGCAGCAGUGGGGAAUAUUGGACAAUGGAGGCAACUCUGAUCCAGCAAUGCCGCGUGUGUGAUGAAGGCCCUAGGGUUGUAAAGCACUUUCAACGGUGAAGAUGAUGACGGUAGCCGUAGAAGAAGCCCCGGCUAACUUCGUGCCAGCAGCCGCGGU
rnacentral:rRNA from 1 species